rnacentral:rRNA from 1 species
CCUACGGGAUGCAGCAGUGGGGAAUCUUGCACAAUGGAGGAAACUCUGAUGCAGCGAUGCCGCGUGAGUGAAGAAGGCCUUUGGGUUGUAAAGCUCUUUUGUAGGGGAAGAUAAUGACUGUACCCUAAGAAUAAGGUCCGGCUAACUUCGUGCCAGCAGCCGCGGUAAUACGAAGGGACCUAGCGUAGUUCGGAAUUACUGGGCGUAAAGCGCGUGUAGGCCGUUGAGUUAGUUAAUUGUGAAAUCCCAAAGCUUAACUUUGGAACUGCAAUUAAAACUGCUCGACUAGAGUUUGAUAGAGGAAAGCGGAAUACAUAGUGUAGAGGUGAAAUUCGUAGAUAUUAUGUAGAACACCAGUUGCGAAGGCGGCUUUCUGGAUCAACACUGACGCUGAGGCGCGAAAGCGUGGGGAGCAAACAGGAUUAGAUACCCGUGUAGUC